GUGCUCACUUCGACAGCACAUAAACUAAAAUUGGAAUGAUACAGAGAUUAGCAUGGCGCAUGCGCAAGAAUGAUUGGCAAAUUCGUGAAGUGUUCCAUAUUUUU
ensembl:snRNA U6 U6 spliceosomal RNA